CUCUGCAUAGCUCAGUUGGAAGAGCGCGGGACUGUAGAUCCUGCGGUCGUGGGUUCAAAUCCCACUGUAGAGA